GUGCUGUGUUGAAGUCCUUAAAACUAUGUUAGUAUAUGAUAAAGAGAAGAUUUAUCGUAUAGUUCUUAAACAUAUUCAUGACUAAAUAAUACAUCAUUAUAAGACGAUGACGUUUAUCGAGUGAAGAUCGUUGUAUGUUAUAUAGGUUGGUUGUCCUCUUAACCAAGAAGUAUGGUGACACUGGUAUGGCAUACAGGUGAGAUAUAGGAGUACAUCGUUACGGAACAAAUGACUCACCGCUGAGCAUUGUACUAUCAAGAACUGCUCGCAAAGUAUAUGGGUAUAAGUGUCCUUCAGACCUGAGAUCACUAUAGUGACUUGCAAGCAACUCACUGUGCUUUGGUAUCAGACUAUCUGAAUUUUUAAUGCAAUAAUAGAAGGCUACUGGAUACAGUCAAGUACUUGCGAAGUCUGUGCGUGGAUCAAGAUAGGAUUAAUCCCUCUGGAUUAUUGAAGUUGAUAUAUCACUGUAUUUCAAUUUAGUAAAAUCUUGAUCAGGAUAAUCUAUGAGAUAGAUUUAAAAGAUUGAAAUACAAUGUGGAUGAAGCAAUCUCGGUUGACAGUUAACUUGAGAUCAUCCUAGAGCAUUCAGGAUCAAAAGGAUGAAUUAUGCAGUAACCAUGUGUAUGGAUUCUAAAAUAUUUCUUUGCGAUAAUUUGAGCUAUUUAGACAUCAAAAAUUAUUGUUAGAUGAUAUCUCGAUUAGUGC
rnacentral:lncRNA from 1 species